rnacentral:lncRNA from 1 species
UUUUGAUCUCUAGGGAGGAGUGCUUAUGGGGACAAUUGGGGGAAGCAGGACUGAGUUCUGAGGUACGCCAAUAUUUACAAGUUGAGUGGAUGAGAAACCUAUAAAGAAGAAUGAGAAGAAAUGAUAAGGAGAAGCAGUAGGUAUUCUACAAUAAAUUGAUCAUCCUUCUAUUAUUGAGAAGAGAAAAAUAAAACAGAAAAGAAUAAAGAGGAAAUGGAAGGACUUGAAAUACGCAGAAAAAAAAAUAACUCAAAAGGCAGCAAAAGCUAAUGAGGAAACAGUACUGGAGGAAAAUGAGCAUGUAAUUGCUUACAUAAUCCUAUUCAGAAGAGCAUGGGAGACAUCCCCAAGGAAUUUCUGGAACUUUAAAGAAGGGGUCAGAUUUUCAUGGAGUUAAUAAAGAUGAAUACACAAGAUAAAUUCAGUAUGAAGUCUAUGAUGCUACAUUAUGGCCAAGACCAAGACUUGGUGAAUAAGUUGAUCUGCUUUGAUUAAGUGUGACCUUUUUCUACACCAAGUUGAGAGAUAUCUCAAUUAGUUUGACAUCUCUUGUGAAUCUAUGUGACUUUAAUGACAAAGUAAAACUGAUAAAAAGGAAA